GACGAACGCUGGCGGCGUGCCUAAUACAUGCAAGUUGAGCGAUGAAGAUUGGUGCUUGCACCAAUUUGAAGAGCAGCGAACGGGUGAGUAACGCGUGGGGAAUCUGCCUUUGAGCGGGGGACAACAUUUGGAAACGAAUGCUAAUACCGCAUAACAACUUUAAACAUAAGUUUUAAGUUUGAAAGAUGCAAUUGCAUCACUCAAAGAUGAUCCCGCGUUGUAUUAGCUAGUUGGUGAGGUAAAGGCUCACCAAGGCGAUGAUACAUAGCCGACCUGAGAGGGUGAUCGGCCACAUUGGGACUGAGACACGGCCCAAACUCCGACGGGAGGCAGCAGUAGGGAAUCUUCGGAAAUGGACGAAAGUCUGACCGAGCAACGCCGCGUGAGUGAAGAAGGUUUUCGGAUCGUAAAACUCUGUUGGUAGAGAAGAAAGUUGGUGAGAGUGGAAAGCUCAUCAAGUGACGGUAACUACCCAGAAAGGGACGGCUAACUACGUG
rnacentral:rRNA from 1 species